GCAUGCUUUGCAAAAUACUGAAGGAAAUGACCUUGCGAAGGUUCUGUGGUUGAAAAGCCGAACUUUUGAAGUAUGGCUUGAGCGGCGUACAAACUACACUAGAAGCCUGGCUAUUAUGAGCAUGUGGAAAAAUAUUACACAUUGACUUUGGAGAUUGCUUUGAGGCUUCAAUGAAUCGAGAAAAAUUCCCUGAAAAAGUACCAUUCCGCUUGACUAGAAUGCUUGUGAAAGCUAGUGUUGUG